rnacentral:lncRNA from 1 species
GGACAAUGAGUUCAGCAUCUGCUGCUGUGCUUCGCUUUCAUGGCAAUCUUUUGGGAAGAAUAACUCCAAAACGAAUUCAACCAAUCCAGUAAAAAUGCUUUGUAGUGGAAUAGCUAAUGCGCCACGCAGUUUGAACAUCCUAGCAUGGUGAGAGAGAGGAUAAUUUGUCUUACUGAAGGCAGUUAUAUCAGUUGCAAAACAUUGUUUGUCUGUUGUGAAUGCUCUACCAACUAUUCCUUGGCCUUUGAACAGGUGGUGCUCAGAGCAUGCCUCAAGGAAGCCCAAAAAUUUGUCAUCAGCCACGAAGCAAGCAGCAUCCACGGUGGAAACACAAUUAUAAUAGUUCUCAUCUGAAUGUCGGCAUCCACUUUUACCUUGACUGAGGCAUGGGGC